GGCAUGCGGGUUUAUCAUUAGAAUUAAUUAAUGGAUUAUUAAUAAGAAAUGUAGAUAUUGUAUGCUGCAGAGCUUUAAAAAUCGUGAAACACAUCCUAAGGGGUAUGGAAUUUAAAUCUUUCAUAGAUUCUGUGAUUUCCUCCCCAGUUUGCAGCCAUGCCCACACCUCCUGGAAGGUGACAGAAGGUGGAGUCUACGUUCUCGCCCAUGUCAGCAGCCGUACUGUGGAAUCCGUGAAAACUGGAUUUCCUUUUUCUGGUGCGUUUUUACUCUUGAACUGUGUACUGUGAAUAACUUUAAUACUGCCCAUUCUUUGUUUGCAGUUAUAUAAUUUCUAUUGGCCUUAAAAGUAACUGAAAUAUUUCUUUUUUAAGGUUUCAGUAUAAAACGUAAUCUGCAUCUUCAUUAUGAAACUCAUAUUCAAUUUUCUUUUGUCUCUCGAAGUUUAGAUUGAGGUUUAAAAGAACGAUUUUCAUUAUCAAGCUUCCCCGCAGUUUCCCAGUUUUCCAUUCCAAAUACGUUUAAAAAUCACACCAAAUGUCAGAGCUUUUAGCAAUAUAGAGAAAGAUUUAUUUUCAAAAGUAGCAAAACUUGUUUGAAAAAAAUAUAUAUCUUUAAGUGACUUACUUUAUAAAUGUGACUGUCAAAGUCAGCUAUUCUAUGAUCUACAUUUUACAACAUAUUGUACAAAAGAUACAUUGAUAAGCUCUUAUCUAUUUAUAUAUUUAUAAUUACAUAUUGCACUUGGACCAGCAAGGCUUGCAGAGUCAUUCACGGUAGAAGUUAAUAAAGUUAAAUAGAUGGGAAUCUUUGUAAGUACAAUUGAUCUCCUCUGGUUUGGAAACGAAUCUCCUCGUCGUUGUAAAGGGUUCCCGCGGGUGGGACAGAGAGAGGAGCGUUGCGAGGGGGAAGCAGAGACAGAGAGCAAGGAGGGCAGGGGUCGCCUUCCCGGCGGGGCCCGCUCCCCGCCGGGAGCGCGCCUUUCCCAGACUAGCACCUCCAAGGUCAGGACGCGGUGGUUCCACAUAAGCGGCUCGCGGUCACCACUUCUUUCAGGUCACUCUCGGGUUUCCCGGCCACCAUAAAGGGCCACGUCUGCGGGAAAGAAGAGGGUGGAGGAGGUCCUCCACAUCGCUGAGGGAGCCGGUGGACAUGUUUGGAGGAGUAGAGGAGAGAGAGAGAGAGAGAGAGAGAGAGAGAGAGAGAGAGAGAGACCCUGAAACCAAGGGGCCUCCCGCGUGUGGAGCAGCCACCUCCUGUUGGGUGCUGGAGUUCGGGUCUGGUUGGGUCUUACAGCCCUUUCCCCUUCGCAGACUUGUGAGAAGGAACCUCGAAGGCUUCUGCCGCAGAGGAACCGGCUCUCUGUUUCCCCACUCCUGGAGUCGCGGCCGUAGAGGAGUGUGAGCCAGCGCUGAGGAAUUUGGUGGACACUAGGAAUUUAUCUGGGGAAUAGAGGGGCGGAUCCUUGCAGCCCAGGGGAGGGGCCUGCCAGGCCCCAGGAAAGCGCUUAGACCCCUUUAACAACCAGAGGGAAACUCACUCACAGACCCAGAUUUGUAAUUUGUAAUAUAAGUCAACUCAGCUGCAUCAUGCACUUACUGGCCACCUUCUCCUAGCUUUGGCCGGGGCGAGGUGACGCAGGUCCUAUUCAUCUCUAAAAGGUCUUCUUUAAUUCUUAAGAAUCACAACUGAUUGUUACUAAGAACUUUAGAAAAAAGACCAGCUCCUUUGGCUCUUUCUGGGCCUUCCACCUACGAAUUUCACAAGCACUCCAUGUGCUCUCUCCUCCCAAGAAAAAAAAAAAUAAUAAUAAUUAAAACACAGGGAGUACCAAUCACAUCCUGCAAACACCUCAUAAGACUCCAAGGCUUUACCAAGAUCUCCAUCCCUUUCCCGGGAUCAAUGAAGAAGACAAGUGCUUCAGAGAAUCUCUACAGUGAUGGAAAAGUGGAGAUUUAAAUGACCACAUCUACCCUAAGAUUUAUUGCGAGAGUGAUUGAUGUUAUAAACCAGGAAAAGGACUCUUCCCACAGCAGGGAUGAUAGAAAUAUCAACUUGAAGUUGCCUUUGUCUUCAUGUACAAAUGACCCGUACUACAACGCAGAAAAUAGAAUAAUUUAAUCUGAGGUUCAAGACAACCAUAAGAGAACACCCAACAGGCCUGUUAACAAUUUUUCUGCUUAUUCCCUGACUGGUUUCCUUUGAUUUGCUCUCCCUUUUCUCAGUCUUGGUAAGAUGUGAAAGUUACAGUUAUUUUUAGACUAAAUAACUAUGUGAAAAUGGGCAUUGGCCAAUACUUUGUGAAGUGUGUGUGUGUGUCUACUGAAAUAUCUGCAAAAUAACUACAAAUAAUUAAUUUGGGCUCUAGAAUGUGAUAAUAAUUACAAAUCCAAACUAUGGCUUUACUACAUACUGGGCUAUUAAGCUGUGAUUUUCUUGUUGGAGUCACUUUUUUGUUUUCUGUUUUUGGCUCUGGGUCUCUGUUAUAUCUUAGUUAAUUGACUGCUCAGGCUCUUUGAGGGGAUAGUAACAAUCAUAGUAAUAUGUACCACUGAAAAGAUUUCUGUUGUCUAUAUAUUUUUCAAUGUCGAGAAGUGAAAAGUAACAAUUUCUGGAAGUGUGCAAAAUUAGUCUCAUGUCACAGGCUGGUUUUUAUGCUUAGCAAUUUUUAAAAUAGCCAUAUAAGCAAUAAUUAAGUCCCCUGUCCAUUUAUCUUGCAGUGAGACAUUUAGGCUGAGAAAGGCUAGUGGGCUAUUAUUAAAUUUUGGAGUGUUUCUAAAAUUCUGUAAAGGAUGGAAAGAUGUGAAGAAUACCGUCGCUUAUGUAUCUUGAUAUGAAGCCUUGGAGAAAAAAUAUUCACAUGAAAAAUAUUUUUUUCUUUUACAAUUUUGUGUCUAUCCCUGCUAAUAAACACUCAGGGGCAACUGGGUGGGGGAAAUGGCUUCUUGUUGCAUUCUACUGAGCACAGCAGUUAAGCUGUAACUUAAGCUGUGCCAAAUUCUCCCAAAAUAUAAACUAUAUUCUGUGAGAAGAGAAGCACUUCUGAGAAGCUGUAUUAACCCUUUUGGUACGCUGACUAUUUCUGUUCCAAAGCACAAAACAGAAAACUAGUGAUUUGAAAGUAUGAGAUCAUUUCUAAAAGUUCUUACCUGACUUUUAAGAAACAGUUAUGCCCCAGAGGUAUCUGGCCAAUUUGCUGCUCACUUCUAACAAUUUGUUUUGCAAGAAAGACUAUCUUUGAAAGAUUUUAGUGCUAAGGAAAUUUUAUCUCCUAAAGCUGUAAAAUGAAGAUUAGGCAUGGAAUGUACCCUUGAACUUAAAUCCCGGUUUAUCAACUGAUACAUUUACAGGAAGUUCAAAUUUGAUUCAGUUGCACUUGGAGGGAAUAAUUUGCUUCCUUUUUUAUGAGAAGGAAUACAUCACAGGCUUCUUUUGAAGUGACUUCAUAUGCCAUUACAUAAUCCUUCUCAGGGGAAAAAUAUGCCUUUAAAUUCAAAUUUUAAUCCUUUUUUCUUACUCCUCAUUAUUUGAUCUGGAGACACAUAGGCAAAUUGACAAAACUGCCCCUUCUCUCAUUCUCUUUUUUCUUCAUUUCUAAUUAGCAUCUUCAGAUAUUUUAUUGUUUUGUUUGAUGGUAACUACCACCACUUCAAAUAUUUGCUGACUUUCUAUGCAAGUUGGUGCCUUUUUUUUUUUUUUUUUUUUUUUUUUGAGAUAACAGUCUCUUUUGCCCAAGCUGGAGUGCAGUGGUAUGAUCUAGGCUCACUGCAACCUCCACCUCCUGGGUUCAAGCAAUUCUGCCUCAGCUUCCCAAGUAGCUAGGAUAACAGGUGCCCUCACUAUGCCUGGCUAAUUUCUGUAUUUUUAGUGGAGAUGGCCAGGCUGGCUUCAAACUCCUGACCUCAGGUAAUCGACCCAUCUUGCCCUCACAAAGUACUGGGAUUACAGCAUGAGCCACUAUGCCUAGCCCAGUACCUCUUUUGAUUUUACAUAAUUAUCUCUGUACCCUUUGUUUGCUGCUGAUUGUUUUCUAUCUCCCACUUACACAUCUGUCAAGAUCUGACUUUGUUUCAUUAAAUUUUAACUUUACUUCAUAAAGUGAGCAUUACCUCUCUUUGCUCGUUUUAAAUUAUAGUGGUGCUGGCCUGUCAUAUUUUGGCAGCCAAAGUAAAUAUGGCACUAGUGAGCUUGGUGGUUAGCUAAGAGGGUCAAUAAUGGUGAUGCUGGGUGUUGCUAUCUUUACCUGGCACCAGUGAAGGGACAGUAUAAAUCCUGGAUGGUAUAAAUCCAUUCAGUAGUCAGAAGUCUGCAUGUUCAUUAUACCCUAACCCCCUCUUCUCCCAUUUAAUUCAAUGAAUUGUAGAUAAGAUGCCACAGCAUUAAGAUUUAAAGCUGGCAAAUAACAACAAUAAAGUCUAGAGAAAGAUUCUUCAUGGUUCUUUGAAUCCAAGAGUUAAUCUUGCUUAUCGGGUGUUCCAUAAUACAGCUUUGAAAGCAGCCAGGCCUGUGCACUUGAAAGUCAGAGUUUACCCAUGAGGUGUAAGUGGAUGGGAGAAAACUUGGCAGACAAAGAGAAUUAAAAAUUUUGCAAAGCCAGUUUAAUGUCUUCCUAAGUUUUCUAAUACUAAAUAACUUUAUUAGACCCUCUUGAUAUUAGCAAAGAGAGAGAAAAAGACUGAGCCACUCAUGAGUCAGGUACUAUGCAGGGAACUUUGCCUCCAUUCUCUUGUUCUGUGUAUUUUCUCUCCUUCUUUUGGCACUGCUAGAAAAAGAGCUGCCACAUGAAAUGAAUACUGUAUUAGAAAUGUAUGCCAGAGGCUUUCCCCUGUAAUGAAGCCUUAGAAAAACUG